ACCCUCCAGACUCUUUAUCCAUCAGAUCUAAACAUUGGUCUGAGAAGUUAUAAAAGGAGGAAAAGUAAAACUGCGACAUUUAUGUUGGUUUCCAAAAGAA
rnacentral:snoRNA from 1 species